CCUACGGGAGGCAGCAGUGAGGAAUAUUGGACAAUGGGCGCAAGCCUGAUCCAGCCAUGCCGCGUGCAGGAAGAAGCAUCUAUGGUGUGUAAACUGCUUUUGUACAGGAAGAAACACUCCCUCGUGAGGGAGCUUGACGGUACUGUAAGAAUAAGGACCGGCUAACUCCGUGCCAGCAGCCGCGGUAAUACGGAGGGUCCGAGCGUUAUCCGGAAUCAUUGGGUUUAAAGGGUCCGUAGGCGGUUUAAUAAGUCAGUGGUGAAAUCUGGUCGCUCAACGAUCAAACGGCCAUUGAUACUGUUAGACUUGAAUUAUAAGGAAGUAACUAGAAUAUGUAGUGUAGCGGUGAAAUGCUUAGAUAUUACAUGGAAUACCAAUUGCGAAGGCAGGUUACUACUUAUGGAUUGACGCUGAUGGACGAAAGCGUGGGGAGCGAACAGGAUUAGAUACCCUGGUAGUCCACGCCGUAAACGAUGGAUACUAGCUGUUCGGAGCAAUCUGAGUGGCUAAGCGAAAGUGAUAAGUAUCCCACCUGGGGAGUAACGUUGCAAGAAUGAAACUUCAAAUUGAAUUGAGG
rnacentral:rRNA from 1 species